UGAGGAAUAUUGGUCAAUGGGCGAGAGCCUGAACCAGCCAAGUAGUGUGCAGGACGACGGCCCUAUGGGUUGUAAACUGCUUUUGUAUGGGGAUAAAGUCAAUCACGUGUGAUUGUUUGCAGGUACCAUACGAAUAAGGACCGGCUAAUUCCGUGCCAGCAGCCGCGGUAAUACGGAAGGUUCGGGCGUUAUCCGGAUUUAUUGGGUUUAAAGGGAGCGUAGGCUGGAGAUUAAGUGUGUUGUGAAAUGUAGACGCUCAACGUCUGACUUGCAGCGCAUACUGGUUUCCUUGAGUACGCACAACGUUGGCGGAAUUCGUCGUGUAGCGGUGAAAUGCUUAGAUAUGACGAAGAACUCCGAUUGCGAAGGCAGCUGACGGGAGCGCAACUGACGCUGAAGCUCGAAGGUGCGGGUAUCGAACAGGAUUAGAUACCCUGGUAGUCCGCACAGUAAACGAUGGAUGCCCGCUGUUGGUACCUGGUAUCAGCGGCUAAGCGAAAGCAUUAAGCAUCCCACCUGGGGAGUACGCCGGCACGGUG
rnacentral:rRNA from 1 species